rnacentral:rRNA from 1 species
GAUGAACGCUAGCGGCAGGCCUAAUACAUGCAAGUCGGACGGGAUUCGGGUGCUUGCACCUGAUGAGAGUGGCGCACGGGUGCGUAACACGUAUGUAACCUACCUUAGUCAGGGGGAUAGCCUCUCGAAAGAGAGAUUAAGACCGCAUAACAUCAUUGAAUGGCAUCGUUUGAUGAUCAAAUAUUUAUAGGACUAAGAUGGGCAUGCGCAACAUUAGCUAGUUGGUGUGGUAACGGCAUACCGAGGCUACGAUGUUUAGGGGAUCUGAGAGGAGGACCCCCCACAGUGGGACUGGGCAACGGACCAGACUCCUACGGGAGGCAGCAGUAAGGAAUAUUGGUCAAUGGACGGAAGUCUGACCCAGCCAUGCCGCGUGCAGGAAGACGGCCCUAUGGGUUGUAAACUGCUUUUGCAGGGGAAUAAACCUCGGUACGUGUACCGAGUUGAAUGUACCUUGAGAAUAAGGAUCGGCUAACUCCGUGCCAGCAGCCGCCGUAACAC